UUUAAAAGUAACUGGAAAAAAAGUUAAUUAAUAGACAGUCACCGCAAAAUGAAGACAAUCCACAAAUACAUGUUGAAACGGAAACAACAAUUGAACACAAAAUGAAGAUAUCUGACAAAAAAAGUAUGCAAGUACGGUUAUAUUCAUUAGCAAACAAAACAAAAUAUAGAACAUGUUUGUCCACCUUGUCUAGGUCACCUAAGGGAUUGCGUUUUCAAUAUUCAUAUUCAUUUUGAUAAAAAAUUAUUUAAUAUUGGCUUUAUUUCCACCAAACACCCAACAUAUAUUAAUACCACUUUCAUUUCCUUUUUUUAAUUAGAAAAUAGUUUUUAGUUUAAUGGUACACAAAUGUUCAUUUCUUCAAAACAAACUAUUCAAUAAAUGAAACAAUAAACACUCACUUCAUUUGUAUGUUUUAUGUGCUAUAACAAAUACACGCUAAGUGUGCAAAGUUAGUAAACACACAGCAUAAAAGCGAAUAAUCGAUUGUACACGUCACUUUUGCAAAAUAUCUUUGCAUAUGUUUAAUUUGUAAAAAUAUUUCUUUGAGGUUCAAUAUGUAGAAGGUGUUCCUUGAAGUGAACAGUGCAUUUUCUUCUUCACUAAAAUAUCCUUGUGAAAUCUCAGGGUUGGUCCUACAUACGAACUAUCAGAUUCAUCAAAAUUUCAAUUGUCAAACCUCAUAUAAUAAAUGUGUGAAAAAUUUUGUACUAUGUCCAAAAAUCGAGAGCCUUUUUGUUUCAAAACCAAACUUUAAAUAUAUUUGUGAAAACUUUAGGUCAUAUAAGUAUUGUUCAGUUCAGUAAUCAAUCUUAUACCAGGGCUUUGAUAUACUAUUUUCUCAUUUUUCUCGUUAAUUAUU